GCAUUACUUAAGAGUCCCACAAUAGAACGAAACGGCCGUCCAGUGC
rnacentral:hammerhead_ribozyme from 1 species